rnacentral:rRNA from 1 species
AGUGAACGCUGGCGGUAGGCCUAACACAUGCAAGUCGAACGGCAGCACAGUAAGAGCUUGCUCUUACGGGUGGCGAGUGGCGGACGGGUGAGGAAUACAUCGGAAUCUACUUUUUCGUGGGGGAUAACGUAGGGAAACUUACGCUAAUACCGCAUACGACCUACGGGUGAAAGCAGGGGAUCUUCGGACCUUGCGCGAUUGAAUGAGCCGAUGUCGGAUUAGCUAGUUGGCGGGGUAAAGGCCCACCAAGGCGACGAUCCGUAGCUGGUCUGAGAGGAUGAUCGGCCACACUGGAACGGGAACAGGGUCCAGACUCCUACGGGAGGAAGCAGUGGGGAAUAUUGGACAAUGGGCGCAAGCCUGAUCCAGCCAUACCGCGUAGGUGAAGAAGGCCUUCGGGUUGUAAAGCCCUUUUGUUGGGAAAGAAAAGCAGCAGGUUAAUACCCCGCUGUUCUGACGGUACCCAAAGAAUAAGCACCGGCUAACUUCGUG